AUUGAACGCUGGCGGCAUGCCUUACACAUGCAAGUCGAACGGCAGCACGGGAGCAAUCCUGGUGGCGAGUGGCGAACGGGUGAGUAAAGUAUCGGAACGUGCCCAGUCGUGGGGGAUAACGUAGCGAAAGUUACGCUAAUACCGCAUACGAUCUAUGGAUGAAAGCGGGGGAUCGCAAGACCUCGCGCGAUUGGAGCGGCCGAAAUCGGAUUAGGUAGUUGGUGGGGAAAAGGCUCACCACGCCGACGAGCUGUAGCUGGUCUGAGAGGACGACCAGCCACACUGGGACGGAGACACGGCCCAGACUCCUACGGGAGGCAGCAGUGGGGAAUUUUGGACAAUGGGCAAAAGCCGGAUCCAGCCAUGCCGCGUGCAGGAUAAAGGCCUUCGGGUUGUAAACUGCUUUUGUACGGAACGAAAGGUUUUGGGCUAAUAAGCUGAGCUCAUGACGGUACCGUAAGAAUAAGCACCGGCUAACUACGUGCCAGCCGCCGCAGUAA
rnacentral:rRNA from 1 species